rnacentral:rRNA from 1 species
AUUGAACGCUGGCGGAAUGCUUUACACAUGCAAGUCGAGCGGCAGCGCGGGGCAACCCGGCGGCGAGCGGCGAACGGGUGAGUAAUACAUCGGAACGUGCCCAGACGUGGGGGAUAGCCCGGCGAAAGCCGGAUUAAUACCGCUGAGAUUGAGGAUGAAAGCAGGGGACCUUCGGGCCUUGCGCGUUUGGAGCGGCCGAUGGCAGAUUAGGUAGUUGGUGAGGUAAAGGCUUACCAAGCCUGCGAUCUGUAGCUGGUCUGAGAGGAUGAUCAGCCACACUGGGACUGAGACACGGCCCAGACUCCUACGGGAGGCAGCAGUGGGGAAUUUUGGACAAUGGGCGCAAGCCUGAUCCAGCCAUUCCGCGUGCAGGAUGAAGGCCCUCGGGUUGUAAACUGCUUUUGUACAGAACGAAAAAGGCCUGGCUAAUAUCUGGGUCUCAUGACGUACUUAAGAAUAAGCCCCGCA